rnacentral:rRNA from 1 species
AUUGAACGCUGGCGGCAUGCCUUACACAUGCAAGUCGAACGGCAGCACGGGAGCAAUCCUGGUGGCGAGUGGCGAACGGGUGAGUAAUAUAUCGGAACGUGCCCAGUCGUGGGGAUAACGUAGCGAAAGCUACGCUAAUACCGCAUACGAUCUAUGGAUGAAAGCGGGGGAUCGCAAGACCUCGCGCGAUUGGAGCGGCCGAUAUCAGAUUAGGUAGUUGGUGAGGUAAAGGCUCACCAAGCCGACGAUCUGUAGCUGGUCUGAGAGGACGACCAGCCACACUGGGACUGAGACACGGCCCAGACUCCUACGGGAGGCAGCAGUGGGGAAUAUUGGACAAUGGGGGGAACCCUGAUCCAGCAAUGCCGCGUGUGUGAAGAAGGCCUGAGGUUGUAAAGCACUUUCAGUGGGGAGGAGGGUUGA